GGUGCCGUGGCAGAGCGGCCCAUUGCGAUCGACGUGGGCGAUGCCCCGCUCACGUCGACUGACGGAGACGGGCGGGCCUGUCCCUAUCUGUCCGCGGGUUCGAAUCCCGUCGGCACCG
rnacentral:tRNA from 1 species